rnacentral:rRNA from 1 species
CAGCCGCCGCGGUAAUACGUAGGGGGCGAGCGUUAUUCGGAAUUAUUGGGCGUAAAGAGUACGUAGGUUGCAGUUUAAGCGGGUGGUGAAAUCCCGGGGCUUAACCCCGUUAAGCCGCCCGAACUGGGCUGCUUGAGUGCAGGAGGGGGAAGUGGAAUUCCUAGUGUAGCGGUGAAAUGCGUAGAUAUUAGGAGGAAGACCGGUGGCGAAGGCGACUUUCUGGCCUGCAACUGACACUGAGGUACGAAAGCGUGGGUAGCAAACAGGAUUAGAUACCCUGGUAGUCCACGCCGUAAACGAUGAGCACUAGGUGUCGGGAUAGCAAUAUCUCGGUGCCGCAGUUAACGCAUUAAGUGCUCCGCCUGGGGAGUACGUGCGCAAGCAUAAAACUCAAAGGAAUUGACGGGGACCCGCACAAGCAGCGGAGCAUGUGGUUUAAUUCGAAGCAACGCGAAGAACCUUACCAGGACUUGACAUCCUCUUGAAAGCUUGGGUAAUUCCAGGCCUUCUUCGGACAAGAGAGACAGGUGGUGCAUGGCC